GGCCUCUGUUGCUGGAGGCAGCAGCUGGUGGAGGGGUUCUUUGAAGAGGAAACCUCCAGGGCUCUCCCAGUUUCUGGGAUGAUUUCCCAGCACAGUUUGUGAAAGCGGGAAGAUGCAAAGAUCGUAAGGUUUUGGGAAAGAUGCAUCCAAGAGGAGAUAAAUUUAAAUACGACAAAUGAUGCUGCCGGUGUGUAUAAACGUUCUAGUCUGUGUUACUGUAAAACAAGUGCUGGGAUGCUGGUGCUGCAAUGGAAUAUUUGCAGUCUACGGACAUGGUGCAGAAGGAAGGGCAAGUAUAAUACGCCGAUGGUACGUGAAGCAAAUCACACCGGCUUCACAUGAGAAUCUUUUUUUUCCAAAUCACUGCAACAUUGGGAGCCUCCACUUGGACCCCGACCCUGUCCCGUAUUUCACAGAUGACUGACGAUGGUUCUUCAAUCUCGCGUUAUCUGUCCGUAAGACUGUAAAAUGUAGGUGCAGAACCAUUGAGAAUAAAACAUAAAACAUUAAAA